rnacentral:lncRNA from 1 species
UUUUGGGUCAACCUAAAAAAUAUGGUAUCUUUUUUUUUUCCAACUGAUAUUAUUAUAAUAAAGAAGAAAGCCCAAAAGGACCAAAUCCAAAACCAUUACAACUAAAACCCAAGACAUGCCCAAAUUCUAAAAUUCAACAAAAGGAACGAAAGUCCUAAACCCGGCCUAACAACAAAGCCCAAAAAAAAUGAGGCCACCGCCCCAAACACCAACGCAACGGCGCACGUGUUGAGACUUCAACUGCGAGGCACACAUGUCGCUAGAUCCCUUCUCCAACCUCCAUCGCCAGAGGAAACAUGCAACCCAACACCAGAAACCGUACCCGAUCUCA